AGAGUUUGAUCCUGGCUCAGGAUGAACGCUAGCUACAGGCUUAACACAUGCAAGUCGAGGGGCAGCAUGGUCUUAGCUUGCUAAGGCCGAUGGCGACCGGCGCACGGGUGAGUAACACGUAUCCAACCUGCCGUCUACUCUUGGACAGCCUUCUGAAAGGAAGAUUAAUACAAGAUGGCAUCAUGAGUCCACAUGUUCACAUGAUUAAAGGUAUUCCGGUAGACGAUGGGGAUGCGUUCCAUUAGAUAGUAGGCGGGGUAACGGCCCACCUAGUCUUCGAUGGAUAGGGGUCCUGAGAGGAAGGUCCCCCACAUUGGAACUGAGACACGGUCCAAACUCCUACGGGAGGCAGCAGUGAGGAAUAUUGGUCAAUGGGCGAGAGCCUGAACCAGCCAAGUAGCGUGAAGGAUGACUGCCCUAUGGGUUGUAAACUUCUUUUAUAAAGGAAUAAAGUCGGGUAUGCAUACCCGUUUGCAUGUACUUUAUGAAUAAGGAUCGGCUAACUCCGUGCCAGCAGCCGCGGUAAUACGGAGGAUCCGAGCGUUAUCCGGAUUUAUUGGGUUUAAAGGAGCGUAGAUGGAUGUUUAAGUCAGUUGUGAAAGUUUGCGGCUCAACCGUAAAAUUGCAGUUGAUACUGGAUAUCUUGAGUGCAGUUGAGGCAGGCGGAAUUCGUGGUGUAGCGGUGAAAUGCUUAGAUAUCACGAAGAACUCCGAUUGCGAAGGCAGCCUGCUAAGCUGCAACUGACAUUGAGGCUCGAAAGUGUGGGUAUCAAACAGGAUUAGAUACCCUGGUAGUCCACACGGUAAACGAUGAAUACUCGCUGUUUGCGAUAUACUGCAAGCGGCCAAGCGAAAGCGUUAAGUAUUCCACCUGGGGAGUACGCCGGCAACGGUGAAACUCAAAGGAAUUGACGGGGGCCCGCACAAGCGGAGGAACAUGUGGUUUAAUUCGAUGAUACGCGAGGAACCUUACCCGGGCUUAAAUUGCAGAUGAAUUACGGUGAAAGCCGUAAGCCGCAAGGCAUCUGUGAAGGUGCUGCAUGGUUGUCGUCAGCUCGUGCCGUGAGGUGUCGGCUUAAGUGCCAUAACGAGCGCAACCCUUGUUGUCAGUUACUAACAGGUUCCGCUGAGGACUCUGACAAGACUGCCAUCGUAAGAUGUGAGGAAGGUGGGGAUGACGUCAAAUCAGCACGGCCCUUACGUCCGGGGCUACACACGUGUUACAAUGGGGGGUACAGAGGGCCGCUACCACGCGAGUGGAUGCCAAUCCCAAAAACCUCUCUCAGUUCGGACUGGAGUCUGCAACCCGACUCCACGAAGCUGGAUUCGCUAGUAAUCGCGCAUCAGCCACGGCGCGGUGAAUACGUUCCCGGGCCUUGCACACACCGCCCGUCAAG
rnacentral:rRNA from 1 species